UUCUCUUGAGGCCUGAGAACAGAAAGAAGUUGGUAGGAGUUAGACACUGAUGGAUGCAGAACUAAUUCAUAGCCCAGCUCAUGCUUUUCUUCAAUCAAGUUCAAUGAUUUCUGGCUCUUUUAUGCAACUACACUUUUUUCUUGACUGUUGAAGCCUUUCAUAUAAAAAGGGAUAAUGAAUUCGUUAAGCACUCACUGAUCAUUUACGGCUGAACAACAUGAAGCUCUGUUUUAUCUCUAUAUUGGUUCUCACCAUACUCGGGUUGGCUUUAGGUGGCGGCAGAGGAGGUAACGGUGGUCGGGGAAGCGGUACGGGUGGUGGAGGUGGCGGAGGUGGUGGAUAUAAGGGUGGUGAUGGUGGCGAUGGUCAUUGAAUUACUAAACUAAAGUUUGAGUGACCAAUCACUACUUGAAAGUAAAGUAGUUAUUUUUAUGGCUUGUAAAUAUAAUUUUAAAUACACUCCUAAGAUACUAAACUGACUGUUAAAAUGUAUGGCUUAAAUUAACAACAAAAAUACAUAUCAAUAUUUUUCUACAAAACUGAUAA